CAAUGAUGACUAACAGGGUAAUUUUAUUGCCUACAACCAAUAGAGCGCGGUGGUAACGCACACACCGGCAUCACCGCCAUUCCAGGCCCAGCCCCGCCACCAGCGGAGCCUGCAGGACCUCUCCCUGGCAGGCAAGAGAAACCCUUCCGGACUAUGUCCACCAUGUGCGCGGAAAACCCUCUGCGGCCGGAGCGACCGGGAAGAGCCGACCCGCAGCCCGCGGCACCGCGCGGGUCACACACCGCGGCCACCCCAACCGCGUCGCCCGGGCUGCCACCAGGGUAUGCCACGCCUCCCCGGAACACCAAGCCAAUCACGGCGCCGAGCAGCCGGAUGCGCCCGUACGGAGACACGCCGGGGCACAGGAAAGGCGCUUCCUUUACCGGGAGGAAGGAGCAAGAGUUUUGUCUUAUGGCCGCUCCAGGAAAGGUGGCAGCUUUCCGUCUGCCUCCCCUGCCAACUGUUGGAGAGAUUAUUAAACUCUUUCGCCUUAAAGCCCAGAAACAACUUUCCCAGAAUUUUCUACUGGAUUUGCGAUUGACAGACAAGAUAGUGAGACACGCUGGCGACCUGAAAAAUGCUUAUGUUUGUGAAGUGGGCCCCGGGCCAGGAGGGAUUACCAGAUCCAUUCUCAGUGCUGGUGUUGAACAACUCCUUUUAAUUGAAAAAGAUACUCGAUUUAUUCCAGGAUUACAGUUGUUAUCCGAAGCAGCUCCAGGAAAGGUGCGCAUUCUUCAUGGAGAUAUCCUGACAUACAAGAUGGAGAAGGCUUUUCCAAAGCACUUAAAAAAGAACUGGGAGGAUGAGCCACCAGAUAUACAUAUCAUUGGGAAUCUCCCCUUCAGUGUUUCAACUCCUCUAAUCAUCAAAUGGCUUGACAAUGUUUCCAGAAAGGAUGGACCUUUUAUUUAUGGCAGGACGCAGAUGACAUUGACUUUUCAGAAGGAAGUAGCAGAGAGGCUUACAGCUAAUCCAGGAGGUAAGCAACGUAGCAGACUGUCCAUCAUGUCUCAGCAUCUCUGCACUGUUGAAAACUGUUUUGUGAUUCCAGGUGAAGCUUUUGUUCCAAAGCCAGAGGUAUCAGCAACCUGUGGCAAAGGUAGAAUCUAUCAGCACUUGAGAAAUUCAGAAACUGCUCUGGAAAACAGGUUUAUGUGCCUUUUACUGCAGAUUCCAUAUGUCAAGUUUUCUUUGUUACGUAAUUUUUAAAUACGUUCUCGUGUCAUUACAUUUUAAUAAUUUAGGGGUUUUGGGGUUUUUUUUGAUCUUAGCUUUAGCUUUCAGAAAAGGUGGAAAAACAGAGAAAAAACACUUAUCUGUAACAUAUGCUUGAGAUUAGCAGUGCUAAUACUGGAAACUCAGUAUUGUUUUUUUCAUCAGCACCAUUAAUCAGUAUUUUUUUUUCCUUUUUCUAGCCAGUAUUUUCAUUCAGCUUCAUAAGUUCUGUCUACAUAAAAAACUUGUUGUUUGAAUUGAAUCAUUUCAGUUGAAGGCAAAUACAAUACCUCUGCUGUUGAAGCAGUUGUAGCAGAUGGAUGUAUUUGACAGCUGAGCUGUUCCCACUGAAAGUACAACAUGGAUGGAUGGCACUUUUGUGCCAGAAUAUGUCCACAUCAGAGGUUACUAUGAUUUAAUUGUUUUAAAAAACCUCCACAAACUCAGAGCAGUUUUGGUUCAAGCAGUAGAAAAAAACCUGCGCUUUUUUUGAAGUACUCUUUUGCUAUAGGUUUUCUCAAACAAUUGGUGUACUGAGAGUAUGCUUAGAACAGAAGCUGUUCUUUGGUCUGAGUAUAUCUCUUAUUUCAGUUAGAACAAGCACGUCUUCAAUUUAAUGUGACAUAGACUGUUCCAUGAAUGACAAUACUGGCUUUCAGACCUUUUAAAAAGAUGGAUUAUUGUUCAUCGUAUUAGCAGACACUUUUAAUAAGAAACUGAGUAUUUUUAAAAGUCUGACACUUAAAAAUUUUGUAGUCAUACAGUACCAGUACUUGUACAAAUCAUAUAAAUUGUCAAUGUACUCCUCCACAGAAAUUUUUCAUUUAUAUUGUUGUUAGUAUCUAGUGUGGAAGACAAACUGCUUUACUUGGUGUUGUGCAGAACUGGAUUUUUAGCCCAGCCUCUAUUUUUUUUUAAUACAGAAGUCUGAAUUUAGGCAUCUCUGUGUAAUACAGUAUCUCUGUAACUGCAUGACAUAUAUACAUAUUUUGGGGUUUUAUAUAUAUAUGUAUAGUAAAGGGAAGAUAUUAUUCUGUUUUCAGACACAGGGAAAGUGAGUAUUCUGUGACCAAAUCUGAUUUUAGAGCUAUAAAAGAAUAAAACAAGGUUGAAAAAAAUCUUUGUAGAAUCAUUUAAAUAUAAUUUUGGAUGAACUGUGAUACACACUGUAAAUAUAGAGUUGUAUGGUCACUUAAAAUGGGUGCAAACUUAUUUCUACCUACCAUUCCUUUAAAUGGACUAGAAUUUUACACUCUUAGGAUGCUGAAAACUAAUUCCUUGGCUUACAUUUGAGAAAAGCCCUAGAGCAACAGAAAAUAUAUAGGGAAUGGAUUUGAUUUCUAAUUAUAAUACCAAUUUUCUCCAGCUGCCCUUCAGCCUGUAUAUCGAAUAUUGUCUAAUUUGUGUAUCAUGUCAGAAUUGUCUUGUGGAAGGAUUUGAAGAAGAGUACGCUAAUUACUUUACAGAUUACAUGGAAGUUGUUCUAGAUGGAGGAAGUGCCAUGGGGAAAAAGGUACUGAGUAUUAAUGGCAUGUGAACUAAUUGGAAAUAUGUAGAUAACUAAGACUAAAAUUCUGUAGGGCCUUGAAAAUUAAGCCGAAUUUUCAUAGUCAAAUACCAUGACAUUUGUCACUGCAGUUACGUUACCUGUCACAAUAAUGUCUUCCUAUGUUCUGCCUGUUUCCUGACGUCUAGCCGGUUAACUUAGAAAUAAUGUGUCUCCUAGGAAUGUAUCUACUCAAAUUUCUUUUUCUUUUCCGUAUAGGUGGAUGUGGCUGUGGUGCAUUUCACUCCACUGGUGCAACCAAAGAUAGAGCAGCCGUUCGAACUCGUAGAAAAAGUGGUUCAAAGUGUUUUUCAGUUUAGAAGAAAAUACUGCUUCCGUGGAAUUGAGACCUUGUUUCCUGAAAGUGGACGUUUGAAAAGAACAGAACAGCUGAUGAUGACAGCAAAUGUUGAUCCAACUCUGCGUCCUAUUCAGCUCUCCAUGUCGCAGUUUAGAAAUCUGUGCAAUACAUACAGGAAAAUGUGCGAUGAAGACCCAGGCCUUUUUGUGUACAAUUAUAGAGAAGAACUAAAGCAAAAGAAAACAAGAAAAUUACUUAAAAGUACUGAAGAGACUGAAGAGGAAAAUGAGCUGUAACAGCUGUAAUUGCAACGGACUGAUUUUUUUAUUAGUAUUAACUCCUUAAUCUAGAGGUGUUGAUUCAGUAAAAGGAGGCUUAUAUAUUCCUACAUCUCUGCAGGUUUGGAAAAAUUACUUUUGAUAAAGUGGUGGAGAGAGAGGGCUUUCCCAUUUUCUUUAUUCAUUCCAUUCAGCUGCAGACAAAAGUGAAAAGACAGUCCAGUUACAAGGUGCCUACAGGUUUUUUUUAAUUCAGGGGAAUGGCUAGAACACAUACCAAGAACAGGGUAUGUUGUAAGACAUGUAAUUUAGUUGGGAUACUUCUGAAAUAACUGAGUUUGUAUGAAUGAAAGUGCAUUACUAAAAUGUAAGAAAAAAUACUUUUCAUACUUCAGCAUGUAGACAGUAUUUGGGGUUUUGUGCUCUUUUUAUCCUGGAACAGCCUACUGUGCAGAGUAAUUGAAAAAAACAAAAGCCAAAACUCCCGUAUAAAUAUACUCAAGUGACUGGCUUACAGGAGGAUAAAGUGCACAGAUUGUCUCAAGGUCUGCUAAUACUCUCCUCGUUUAUGCAAAAGCAAAGAAUUUGGGAUUUAAAGCUCCAACUAGGGAAAAGCAGCACGAUAAAAAGUAGAGAACAUGGCUAAGUACAAUACUUAUUUGUCUUUUACUGUACAGGCUGGUAGAGAAAAUAAAAAAUACAGUCAAAUAAAA